GUCUAUGGCCAUACCACCCUGAACGCGCCCGAUCUUGAAGCUAAGCAGGGUCGGGCCUGGUUAGUACUUGGAUGGGAGAGAAGCGAAGGAAAAUCUAGUACAUUGGGUC
rnacentral:rRNA from 1 species